rnacentral:rRNA from 1 species
CCUACGGGUGGCAGCAGUGAGGAAUAUUGGUCAAUGGACGAGAGUCUGAACCAGCCAAGUAGCGUGAAGGAUGACUGCCCUAUGGGUUGUAAACUUCUUUUAUAAAGGAAUAAAACGAGGCACGUGUGCCUUUUUGCAUGUACUUUAUGAAUAAGGAUCGGCUAACUCCGUGCCAGCAGCCGCGGUAAUACGGAGGAUCCGAGCGUUAUCCGGAAUUAUUGGGUUUAAAGGGAGCGUAGAUGGGUUGUUAAGUCAGUUGUGAAAGUUUGCGGCUCAACCGUAAAAUUGCAAUUGAUACUGGCAGUCGUGAGUACAGUUGAGGUAGGCGGAAUUCGUGGUGUAGCGGUGAAAUGCUUAGAUAUCACGAAGAACCCCGAUUGCGAAGGCAGCUUACUAAACUGUGACUGACAUUGAUGCACGAAAGUGUGGGUAUCAAACAGGAUUAGAUACCCUUGUAGUC